GAUGAACGCUGGCGGCGUGCCUAAUACAUGCAAGUCGAGCGAACAGACGAGGAGCUUGCUCCUCUGACGUUAGCGGCGGACGGGUGAGUAACACGUGGAUAACCUACCUAUAAGACUGGGAUAACUUCGGGAAACCGGAGCUAAUACCGGAUAAUAUAUUGAACCGCAUGGUUCAAUAGUGAAAGACGGUUUUGCUGUCACUUAUAGAUGGAUCCGCGCCGCAUUAGCUAGUUGGUAAGGUAACGGCUUACCAAGGCAACGAUGCGUAGCCGACCUGAGAGGGUGAUCGGCCACACUGGAACUGAGACACGGUCCAGACUCCUACGGGAGGCAGCAGUAGGGAAUCUUCCGCAAUGGGCGAAAGCCUGACGGAGCAACGCCGCGUGAGUGAUGAAGGUCUUCGGGUCGUAAAACUCUGUUAUUAGGGAAGAACAAAUGUGUAAGUAACUAUGCACGUCUUGACGGUACCUAAUCAGAAAGCCACGGCUAACUACGUGC
rnacentral:rRNA from 1 species